CCCGCACAAGCGGUGGAGCAUGUGGUUUAAUUCGAUGAUACGCGAGGAACCUUACCUGGGCUCAAAUGUAUGUUGACGUAUUCUGAAAGGGAUACUUCUUCGGACAAUAUACAAGGUGCUGCAUGGUUGUCGUCAGCUCGUGCCGUGAGGUGUCGGGUUAAGUCCCAUAACGAGCGCAACCCCUAUCAUUAGUUGCCAUCAGGUCAAGCUGGGGACUCUAAUGAAACUGCCUACGCAAGUAGUGAGGAAGGUGGGGAUGACGUCAAAUCAGCACGGCCCUUACGUCCAGGGCUACACACGUGCUACAAUGGCCGGUACAAAGGGCAGCUACCUGGUGACAGGAUGCUAAUCUCAAAAGCCGGUCUCAGUUCGGAUUGCAGUCUGCAACUCGACUGCAUGAAGUUGGAAUCGCUAGUAAUCGUGGAUCAGCCAAGCCGCGGUGAAUACGUUCCCGGGCCUU
rnacentral:rRNA from 1 species